GAUGAACGCUAGCGGCAGGCUUAACACAUGCAAGUCGAGGGGUAGAAGGAGCUUGCUCCUUUGAGACCGGCGCACGGGUGCGUAACGCGUAUGCAAUCUACCUUUUGCAGAGGGAUAGCCCAGAGAAAUUUGGAUUAAUACCUCAUAGUAUGUGAGGAUGGCAUCAUUUUCACAUUAAAGUCACAACGGCAAAAGAUGAGCAUGCGUCCCAUUAGCUAGUUGGUAAGGUAACGGCUUACCAAGGCUACGAUGGGUAGGGGUCCUGAGAGGGAGAUCCCCCACACUGGUACUGAGACACGGACCAGACUCCUACGGGAGGCAGCAGUGAGGAAUAUUGGACAAUGGGCGCAAGCCUGAUCCAGCCAUGCCGCGUGCAGGAUGACGGUCCUAUGGAUGUAAACUGCUUUGUACAGGAAGAAACACUACUUCGUGAAGUAGCUUGACGGUACUGUAAGAAUAAGGAUCGGCU
rnacentral:rRNA from 1 species